rnacentral:rRNA from 1 species
ACCUUCCUCUAACUGGAGAAUAGCCCGAAGAAAUUCGGAUUAAUACUCCAUAAAGUCAAUUUAAUGCAUCUUUUAUUGAUUAAAGCUCCGGCGGUUAGAGAUGGGCAUGCGUGUCAUUAGCUAGUUGGUGAGGUAACGGCUCACCAAUGCCACGAUGACUAGGGGGUCUGAGAGGAUGAUCCCCCACACUGGUACUGAGACACGGACCAGACUCCUACGGGAGGCAGCAGUGAGGAAUAUUGGGCAAUGGACGCAAGUCUGACCCAGCCAUGCCGCGUGCAGGAUGACUGCCCUAUGGGUUGUAAACUGCUUUUGUUUGGGAAGAAACCCCCGAUCGUGAUCGGGGCUGACGGUACCAUACGAAUAAGCAUCGGCUAACUCCGUGCCAGCAGCCGCGGUAAUACGGAGGAUGCAAGCGUUAUCCGGAUUCAUUGGGUUUAAAGGGUGCGCAGGCGGAAUAUUAAGUCAGUGGUGAAAUCCUGCAGCUUAACUGUAGAACUGCCAUUGAUACUGAUAUUCUUGAAUAUAGUUGAGGUGGGCGGAAUGUGUAAUGUAGCGGUGAAAUGCUUAGAUAUUACACAGAACACCAAUUGCGAAGGCAGCUCACUAAACUAAUAUUGACGCUGAGGCACGAAAGCGUGGGUAGCAAACAGGAUUAGAUACCCUGGUAGUCCACGCUGUAAACUAUGAUCACUCGCUGUUGGCAAUACAUCGUCAGCGGCUGAGCGAAAGCAUUAAGUGAUCCACCUGGGGAGUACGGUCGCAAGAUUGAAACUCAAAGGAAUUGACGGGGGCCCGCACAAGCGGAGGAACAUGUGGUUUAAUUCGAUGAUACGCGAGGAACAUUACCUGGGCUUAAAUGCAGAGCGACGUCCGCCCGAAAGGUGGAUUCCUUCGGGCGAUCUGCAAGGUGCUGCAUGGUUGUCGUCAGCUCGUCCCGUGAGGUGUCGGGUUAAGUCCCAUAACGAGCGCAACCCUUAUCGUUAGUUGCCAGCGGGUAAUGCCGGGGACUCUAACGAAACUGCCGGUGUAAACCGUGAGGAAGGUGGGGAUGACGUCAAAUCAGCACGGCCAUUAUGUCCAGGGCUACACACGUGUUACAAUGGUCGGUACAGAGGGCAGCUACCACGCAAGUGGAUGCUAAUCUCGAAACCGGUCUCAGUUCGGAUUGAAGUC